UUAUUGGAGGUAGAGCACUGUUUGGACGAGGGGCCCCUCUCGGGUUACCGAAUUCAGACAAACUCCGAAUGCCAAUUAAUUUAACUUGGGAGUCAGAACAUGGGUGAUAAGGUCCGUGUUCGAAAGGGAAACAGCCCAGACCACCAGCUAAGGUCCCAAAAUAUAUGUUAAGUGGAAAAGGAUGUGGCGUUGCCCAGACAACUAGGAUGUUGGCUUAGAAGCAGCCAUCAUUUAAAGAGUGCGUAAUAGCUCACUAGUCGAGUGACACUGCGCCGAAAAUGUACCGGGGCUAAACAUAUUACCGAAGCUGUGGAUUGUCCUUUGGACAAUGGUAGGAGAGCGUUCUAAGGGCGUUGAAGCAUGAUCGUAAGGACAUGUGGAGCGCUUAGAAGUGAGAAUGCCGGUGUGAGUAGCGAAAGACGGGUGAGAAUCCCGUCCACCGAUUGACUAAGGUUUCCAGAGGAAGGCUCGUCCGCUCUGGGUUAGUCGGGUCCUAAGCUGAGGCCGACAGGCGUAGGCGAUGGAUAACAGGUUGAUAUUCCUGUACCACCUAUAAUCGUUUUAAUCGAUGGGGGGACGCAGUAGGAUAGGCGAAGCGUGCGAUUGGAUUGCACGUCUAAGCAGUAAGGCUGAGUAUUAGGCAAAUCCGGUACUCGUUAAGGCUGAGCUGUGAUGGGGAGAAGACAUUGUGUCUUCGAGUCGUUGAUUUCACACUGCCGAGAAAAGCCUCUAGAUAGAAAAUAGGUGCCCGUACCGCAAACCGACACAGGUAGUCAAGAUGAGAAUUCUAAGGUGAGCGAGCGAACUCUCGUUAAGGAACUCGGCAAAAUGACCCCGUAACUUCGGGAGAAGGGGUGCUCUUUAGGGUUAACGCCCAGAAGAGCCGCAGUGAAUAGGCCCAAGCGACUGUUUAUCAAAAACACAGGUCUCUGCUAAACCGUAAGGUGAUGUAUAGGGGCUGACGCCUGCCCGGUGCUGGAAGGUUAAGAGGAGUGGUUAGCUUCUGCGAAGCUACGAAUCGAAGCCCCAGUAAACGGCGGCCGUAACUAUAACGGUCCUAAGGUAGCGAAAUUCCUUGUCGGGUAAGUUCCGACCCGCACGAAAGGCGUAACGAUUUGGGCACUGUCUCAACGAGAGACUCGGUGAAAUCAUAGUACCUGUGAAGAUGCAGGUUACCCGCGACAGGACGGAAAGACCCCGUGGAGCUUUACUGUAGCCUGAUAUUGAAAUUCGGCACAGCUUGUACAGGAUAGGUAGGAGCCUUUGAAACGUGAGCGCUAGCUUACGUGGAGGCGCUGGUGGG
rnacentral:rRNA from 1 species